AUGUAAGUAUUUGUGCAUCCAUUUGAAGUAUAUGUGUGUGUAUAUACAGUGAUUUUACUUGUGUUUCCAUUUAAAGCAAGAACCGCCUGCAAAGAGAUGUCGCAUCCACCAGGAGUUGACUUCUGGAAGAUUCAAUGAAAUUGAGUUUGCGAUUAUAGAAGCGGCAUUUAGUUUAAGUGAGUCGAGUGGCAGUGAUUCUUAUGGCGACGAAGUACUCUGUCUGCUUUAUUUGCAUAAUAUAUUAAAUUAACAAGUACUCCUCUUAAAAGAAAUUGCAUCAUCUGAAAAAACACCACGAAAUUGUGUUAAAAACUACUUAGAAGCGGUGGUGCCAACUUAAACGUAGCGGGAGUUUCGUUCGCAUUUCAGGAUUCAGCGCAGUUUAGAUGUUUUUAUCGACAGGAAGGGUUCCUACAGCUUAUGUUUACAAGGUGACGAAAGGAAAAAAUAUAUCAAUAUAUUUGUAGGGUACCAAGGCUCGUCACACGACAGUUGGGUUUUCCAAAAUUCGCGCUUAUACUACAAUCUCUCAGAAUUUUGUGGAGACUACUAUUUAUUGGGAGAUUCUGCCUAUCCGUUCUCUGCGCAUGUAAUUACGCCCUAUCGUGAUAAUGGACAUUUAACCCAUGGGCAGAAAAUAUUUAACAUAAAGCUGACGUCAGGAAGAGUGGCGAUUGAACAUACGUUCGGUAUUAUUCCAAGCUUUCGGCAGUAGUAUUAUUCCAAGCUUCGAGGCAUUGAUAAGUUGUGACAUUUCAUUCGCGCGUGCUGCGUUCUUCACAAUAUUGCAAACCUAGAUGAUUUGGAAUUAUCCUGUUCCAACAAAUAUAAGAGGAAGCUUAUUGCGAGAAGCAAUAUGUAGAGAUAUCCAAAGGCGCCAAAGAAUUUAAAAUGUUAAUAAUUACAUAUAUUUUAAUUUACGAGCAAGAAUCUUCUUGCAUUUCUACAAUAAUUUUUUUUUACACUUAAUCUUAAAAUAAAUACUUGUAAUAUUGUUACAAUUCAUUUAUUUAACAAUUAAUAGUAAUAUAAAAUGGUUUUGGUACAAAUUUAAA